rnacentral:rRNA from 1 species
CUCCGGUUGAUCCGCCGGACCCGACUGCUAUCAGAGUGGGACUAAGCCAUGCGAGUCAACAUAGCAAUAUGUGGCAUACGGCUCAGUAACACGUAGUCAACAUGCCCAGGGGACGUGGAUAACCUCGGGAAACUGAGGAUAAACCGCGAUAAGUCACUACUUCUGGAAUGGGUAAUGACUCAAAUCUACAUGGCCCCUGGAUUGGACUGCGGCCGAUCAGGCUGUUGGUGAGGUAAUGGCCCACCAAACCUGUAACCGGUACGGGCUCUGAGAGGAGGAGCCCGGAGAUGGGCACUGAGACAAGGGCCCAGGCCCUAUGGGGCGCAGCAGGCGCGAAACCUCUGCAAUAGGCGAAAGCCUGACAGGGUUACUCUGAGUGAUUUCCGUUAAGGAGAUCUUUUGGCACCUCUAAAAAUGGUGCAGAAUAAGGGGUGGGCAAGUCUGGUGUCAGCCGCCGCGGUAAUACCAGCACCCCGAGUGGUCGGGACGUUUAUUGGGCCUAAAGCAUCCGUAGCCGGUUCUACAAGUCUUCCGUUAAAUCCACCUGCUUAACAGAUGGGCUGCGGAAGAUACUAUAGAGCUAGGAGGCGGGAGAGGCAAGCGGUACUCGAUGGGUAGGGGUAAAAUCCGUUGAUCCAUUGAAGACCACCAGUGGCGAAGGCGGCUUGCCAGAACGCGCUCGACGGUGAGGGAUGAAAGCUGGGGGAGCAAACCGGAUUAGAUACCCGGGUAGUCCCAGCUGUAAACGAUGCAGACUCGGUGAUGGGUUGGCUUUGAGCCAACCCAGUGCCGCAGGGAAGCCGUUAAGUCUGCCGCCUGGGGAGUACGGUCGCAAGACUGAAACUUAAAGGAAUUGGCGGGGGAGCA